AUGCAUCUAAAGUCGUUGCAAAGGUAUAAGCGGAAGAGGUAAUUGCUUCCAUAAGUUUGUCUCUGAUCAAGUUAUAGAUUGAAUGUGUUUUUCUUUGAUAUCUACUUCGCUGCAAGUUCUCGGUUCUCUUUGUUCGCGGUCUCCUCCAAUCAGUUGCAAAGUGUUCGUGGAAAGCAAUGGUCUAGAAUAAAAGCUUAUGAAAUCAAGCCCAUGUCAAGUCAUUUUCUACUCUGGAGAGAAAAGUGUAGGUUGGUUGCAAAUAUAUAUUUGAAUUUUUGUUUUUUCAGAACUUUGAUUAGAUAUGUAUUUAUUGUUCGUUAUAUUAUAUACGAUGGUUAGGAAGAAGAGCUUCAGAUAUAAAAAGUUGCACUUAUUAUCUUCAAAUUUCGGACAAAUAUUGAGAAGUUGAAAAGUCAUAUUUAUAAUUUAGUAUAGGAGGGAUUUGUUGUUCACAUUUUAAUUUGUUAUUUUAAUUUAAGUAUCGAUUAUCUAUAUCUUUUAUCUGACACGUGGCAAGCAAUUAGUCAAUGUUGUUUGAAGAUUGUAAGCUUUUUUAAUUUAAUUCACAUUGGAUUGGAUGACAUUUAACCCUGAGAUUUUAAACUCUUACAACAUUUGUUGUAAAAUAUGAUCCAAAUGUACUUCUAUUAAAAUAUAAUGGGUUUAAUAACCACAUCUCUUUUACCCAAAGGAUUGAUACGAUGAUAUAUUUUAAUGUGUAUGGUACUCUUAUCUUUAUUUUAGAUGCCAUAUAAAUCCACCAUGCAACUAUUUACUCCGAUCAAGUUAAAAUGUCGUUUGCCCUCACAAUUCAUACAUAUCCUAAGCAUCAAACCAAGCGAAGCAUCACAAAAAUGCAAUAUCCGCCUAAAAUUUACCAUUUGUAUGUCACAUUACAUUUGAAGCUAUGGUUGAAAGUGUUUGUAUCUAUAUCCAUAUAGUUACACAAAGUUCAUCUCAAUGGCAGUGGAUAUUUAUACGUUUAUAUUGAAAAAUUCUUUCAUUACAAAGUUCAUCUCAAUGCCAGUAGAUAUUAUAUGUUUGUAUUAAGCCACCCGCGAAACUCGCGGGAUCUUAAA
rnacentral:lncRNA from 1 species